AGUCUGAUGGAGCAACGCCGCGUGAGCGAUGAAGGCCUUCGGGUCGUAAAGCUCUGUUGUUAGGGAAGAACAAGUACCGGAGUAACUGCCGGUACCUUGACGGUACCUAACCAGAAAGCCACGGCUAACUACGUGCCAGCAGCCGCGGUAAUACGUAGGUGGCAAGCGUUGUCCGGAAUUAUUGGGCGUAAAGCGCGCGCAGGCGGUCCUUUAAGUCUGAUGUGAAAGCCCACGGCUCAACCGUGGAGGGUCAUUGGAAACUGGGGGACUUGAGUGCAGAAGAGGAAAGCGGAAUUCCACGUGUAGCGGUGAAAUGCGUAGAGAUGUGGAGGAACACCAGUGGCGAAGGCGGCUUUCUGGUCUGUAACUGACGCUGAGGCGCGAAAGCGUGGGGAGCAAACAGGAUUAGAUACCCUGGUAGUCCACGCCGUAAACGAUGAGUGCUAAGUGUUAGGGGGUUUCCGCCCCUAGUGCUGCAGCUAACGCAUUAAGCACUCCGCCUGGGG
rnacentral:rRNA from 1 species